rnacentral:rRNA from 1 species
AUGAAGACGAGGUCGCAGACCACCCCGAAGCCACUCAAUACUGUGCGGCUGCCCCCCGUGGAGAGCCCCCGCACGAGGCCGAGGCCGAAGCCGAAGCCGGAGACGCGGAAGAAGGGGGCCCUCGGCGACCUCCGCCGCCCCAAGAAGCCCCCCACCGCCUUCUUCUAUUUCAUGGAGGAUUUCCGGAAAACCUUUCAGGAAGAAAAUCCAAGUGUAAAAGCAAUGCAGGAUGUAGGGAAGGCAUGCGGCGAGAAAUGGAAUAAAAUGGCAUUUGAGGAAAAGGUGAAGUAUUAUGAUCUAGCUACCGAGAGGCGUGCUGAGUUUGAGAAGGCGAUGGCUCAGUAUAACAAGAAAAAGAUAAACGGUGAAUUGUCCGAAGAAUCAGAGUAG